CUGUGUGUCACUCAGUCGCGUCGGUCUCCGGUCUCGUGCUGCGUGAGAAAGUGCGUGUUAGUGAUCUUGUGCUUCGUUUUGCAUUGUCGCUGACCUUCAAAACUGAAAUUCAAAAUUGAAUUAGACUGGUCGUUUGGUCCUCCUUGGAUGUGGCAUUAAAAAUAGGUAAGCGGAGGAGCUCAAAGUUCUCGGUCGAACCCUGGAUGGAUUAUGGAAGACUCAGACACCGUCUGAUGCUGCUGUUUGCUGCCUCACCUCAUCAAGAUCAACGAGCUUAAUUCCAUCCUACGGCGAAGUAGGCUGUGCUCGUUCUGUUGGUGGGUUUUGCGGCGGCAAACCCAACCGAGCGUCAUGGUGAUCGUCGCAUCCUGCUGGUCAGCAAAUACUUCAAUCAAGACGGCAGGGGCAACUACGAGUACGGAUACGAACAGAGCAACGGACAGAAGGUGGAUGAGGUCGGCCGCAGCUACCCAGGACCGGAGCCCGGCACCGGCUCCAUCAGCAAAGAGGGCGGAUUCGAGUUCGUCGCUCCCAACCAGCAGAAGUACCGCGUCGACUAUCGGGCCGACGAGGGUGGCUUCCAGCCGCGGGGAGCCCACCUGCCGCAGCCCCCCGCUCAGCUUCCCGAAUACGACCUGCUGAAGCAGCGGAACCCCGAGCUGUACAUUGGGUAACUCAUUGGGAGUUGAUAGCUUGACGCAAUUUAACCGGGAAUUGAAGACAAAUUCUCCCGGUCCUGAUCCAGACCAAUCUGUGAAGAUAUGUCUCUGCAACUAAUGUGAAAAGAAACGCUAAUAUAUGGGAUGAAAAAUAUGUUUGUUGCGAUGAUUGCUGUU